UACGUAGGGUGCAAGCGUUAAUCGGAAUUACUGGGCGUAAAGCGUGCGCAGGCGGUUAUGCAAGACAGAGGUGAAAUCCCCCGGGCUCAACCUGGGAACUGCCUUUGUGACUGCAUAGCUAGAGUACGGUAGAGGGGGAUGGAAUUCCGCGUGUAGCAGUGAAAUGCGUAGAUAUGCGGAGGAACACCGAUGGCGAAGGCAAUCCCCCUGGACCUGUACUGACGCUCAUGCACGAAAGCGUGGGGAGCAAACAGG
rnacentral:rRNA from 1 species